GUUUGAGAAACGUUUACAAGACCAGCAAUGGAACCUCUAUUACAAGCAACAUUUAGAGCUCCAUCAAAAUUUAAUUUAAUAAAAUUGUGAGGAGGCGACCAAUCUAUUGGGGACUGAUGGGCGUCCGUUUAAGGAUUAGUAGGAAUCUGCUAUGAAGAAAAUUCCUCAAAGUAAGAAAUAGCCGACGAAAUGAUCUGUUGAUGGUUGAGCGUGUGGUUCCUGAAGAUAAUCUCAUUACGGCAUUUCGAAAUACUCCACAAAAGGAAUGCCAUCAGAACCUGAAAAUUGUUAUCCUCUCCAUGAACUUAAGAUCAGAUAGAUGAUAGGAUUUGCAUCCAAUAAUCAGC
rnacentral:misc_RNA from 1 species